AUUAAUUUCUGAUUAACAACAAUUAAUAGGAUUAAAAAACAAAAUCAAAACAGAAAGGGGAUUAGGUUACAUGUUUGGUAGCUUUCACGUUAGUAAUGUUUCCCUUAUUCAACGUACAAAGAGCGCCGCUCCUCCCAAUCUUCUUCUCCGAUUGAACUCGUCGACACCACCAUGAGCCAACGUCUCGUCCUCCGCCCGUCUCAAUCUCUCGAUUCCAUCUCCGUCUUGAGUUUCCGAUCUCUCUCAAUCGAAUGCAUUCUCCAAUUCAAAUUACCGGAGUUUGUCCGGUGUACCUCCACUACCGAUGAUGUUAAGAAAACUAGAGAACAUUCAAGAACCGGUUGCUAGCUGUGCAAAGUUGAAGGUGAUGAUACUCAUGAAAAGUGGAGAUUGAAGAUGAUGAAUCGGUUAUUCAAGAUGAAGAUUCGAGAGAGAAUUGAAGAAGUUUGUUACAUUUUCGGUUGGAGGCGAGUUCUAAUCUAUUAUGUUUUUCUUAUUCUCUUCUCUGUUCUUUUUGUAAUAGAGGUUAUUGAUUCUGGACGAAGGUUGAUGAUGAGGAUGAUGAACACGGUUCAGAGAUCCAGAGAGAGUGAGGGAAAAUAUGAAGGAGAUUGAAGGUUUUUGUGGUAUGAAUCUAAGAAUUCUAUUGAUGGUGAUGGAGAUGGUUGAGAUGAGUAUUGAAGAUUGGAGAAGUGUUGUGAUUGAAGGUGAAGAUGAAUGUUAUGAAGAAGGUCGAUUCAGCGAUGGUGCAAAAGAUUGGAGAGAGAGGUUUGUUAUGCAACUCGGAUUUGGUCCCUCGAUGCGCAGAGCUGCCUCUUUGUCUUUUGCGUCGGAAUAUGAUGUUGUAACCAACCAUGGUUUAGAUGUAAUUAAUUCCUUUGCCACUAUUUAUGUAAUUCAAAUCAUUAUAAAAUGGAUAUGCUGGAAUGUAGCGUGUAUGAACUUUAUGAAUUUUGUAUAAUGAUGGUUGUACGGAAAAUUGAAUGAGAACUUGAAUUUUUGGAUGAAUAAUAGUGUAUGUUUUUGUGUUA